CGUUAUCAUAGUGAUAUGCGCGGGAGAUUGACUUGUUCUACCUGGGCUCACUCCUAACGUUCAUCGUCGAAAGCUUCCAUAGGCUACUGUUUAAUCUCCAGAUCAUACUGGAAAGCGUUUUUCUGUCCCUCCCAAAGGCCCUCAAGAACAACCCCCUUACCAGCACUACAAAUCAGAGGAGGCUGA